AACAUCGCGCACCUGCGGGAACCUGCGGAAGGAUCAUUACAGGGUUGCAAAACUCCCUAAACCAUUGUGAACGUUACCUAAACCGUUGCUUCGGCGGGCGGCCCGGGUCCUUCCCGGCGCCCCUCGGCCCUCGCGGGCGCCCGCCGGAGGUAAACCAAACUAUUGCAUUGUAUGGCCUCUCUGAGUCUUCUGUACUGAAUAAGUCAAAACUUUUAACAAUGGAUCUCAGAUCGGAAGAGC
rnacentral:misc_RNA from 1 species